GUUUUUAUAAUUUAAAUAAAAUUUUGGUUUUGUAAACCAAGCAUAGGUAUAACCUUAAAAACA
rnacentral:tRNA from 1 species